GCCUGGCGCCCUUAGGCUUCAGUAAAUAAACUAAUGAUAAGAGCAGCUACAAUAAUAGGCUUAUAGCCAAGCUAAUACGGAUAUGGAAAAGAGAAAAAAAGGAGAGAUAUGAUAGUUUGGCUCUCAUACAAGCACCAAGUUGGACACGGAUAUAUAGAUAGUGAUGGACCUAAAUAGCAAGUGAUGUGAGAAGAAAUAGAAAAAAAAGUGUUUUAAGACAAUUAUG
rnacentral:lncRNA from 1 species